rnacentral:rRNA from 1 species
GACGAACGCUGGCGGCGUGCUUAACACAUGCAAGUCGAACGCGCCUGUCCUCUGGGUUUCUGGGGGGUGGGUGAGUGGCGAACGGGUGAGUAACACGUGAGUAACCUGCCCCCUUCUUCGGGAUAACGGUCUGAAAGGGCUGCUAAUACCGGGUAUUCACUGGUCUCCGCAUGGGGUCUGGUGGAAAGGUUUUUUUCUGGUGGGGGAGGGGCUCGCGGCCUAUCAGCUUGUUGGUGGGGUGAUGGCCCACCAAGGCUUUGACGGGUAGCCGGCCUGAGAGGGUGACCGGUCACAUUGGGACGGAGAUACGGCCCAGACUCCUACGGGAGGCAGCAGUGGGGAAUAUUGCACAAUGGGCGCAAGCCUGAUGCAGCGACGCCGCGUGAGGGAUGGAGGCCUUCGGGUUGUGAACCUCUUUCGCCCGUGGUCAAGCCGCGACGUGGGUCGUGGUGAGGGUAGUGGGUAAAGAAGCGCCGGCUAACUACGUG